GAAAUAUUGAGCAGAUUUUCAAAUGAAAAAGGGUGUAACUAGUAAAUCUAUGAAAAAAUUGCAAUAAGGGUGAAACUAAAAAAAUGAUGAACAGAAAAACAUGUAAUAAGAGUCGGGCAAAGAAACCUACAAAAUUCCUGUUUGCUUAAGACUUUGACAACUUAGUAAUUCUAUACUGCUCAAAACAUCAAGGAAAUGCCUUUAACAAGUAGACUAAGGGUGACACCUCAAUGUGAAUAUCAACCACACCAAAAGUAUCCAUCAGUCAUAGUUAACCUACGAAUUUAUUUAUCUUCUAUACACGGUAACAUUAUAAUAAUAUAAACAACACUUCUACUUGAUCUCUUGUCCGCACCAUUUAUUGAGACAUCUUAUUCGUUGGUUUUGCUCCGGAGUAGGAAAGAACAUAGGAGCAUAGUUAUGAUACUAUAAACCCAACUCUAGACUACUGUGAUGAGCCAUGGCUCCCAGCAUUCUCAAAUUGAGUACCACUUGAUAAUGAAUUAUGUAUCAUCAUGCAUUCUAAACAAGCAGAUAAGCAAAGAACACAUAGUUAUGUGUAACUGGAUUAUCAAUGUUAAGGUUCUACAGUAUUCCUGUACUCCCCAGCCAUAUGGUCUACAUAAUUACUGAAGGCUAUUUUCAGCACAUAAUACUCAAUUUGGGUUUAAGUGUUGAGUGAAGAAUGCAGAUGCAUGUCCAGGCUUAUGUCCAAAAAUUUUUGCAGAUUCUCAUUGAUUUUUAGUGUCAAAGUCUCACAUCCAUGCCAAAGUAUCCUUAUUCAAAAUAUAAAUUUUCAAAUAAUACUACGUCAAAGUAACUCUGUAAUCUGUAUGCUACUCAGAUAUGCCUAUCCCAAUAACUCACUGCAUAAACUCAAGUCAGUAGUUUUUCCCACCUAGCUUCCU
rnacentral:misc_RNA from 1 species